GAAAUGCGAUAAGUAAUGUGAAUUGCAGAAUUCAGUGAAUCAUCGAAUCUUUGAACGCACCUUGCGCUCCUUGGUAUUCCUUGGAGCAUGCCUGUUUGAGUAUCAUGAAAUCUUCAAAGUAAAUAUUUUGUUAACUCAAUAGGUUUCUACUUUGGUAUUGGAGGUCUUUGCAGCUUCACACCUGCUCCUCUUUGUUCAUUAGCUGGAUCUCAGUGUUAUGCUUGGUUCCACUCGGCGUGAUAAGUUAUCUAUCGCUGAGGACACUGUAAAAGGUGGCCAAGGUAAAUGCAGAUGAACCGCUUCUAAUAGUCCAUUGACUUGGACAAUACUUUUAUGAUCUGAUCUCAAAUCAGGUAGGACUACCCGCUGAACUUAAGC
rnacentral:misc_RNA from 1 species